rnacentral:lncRNA from 1 species
GGAGGUUUGUCGAGUCGAAUUGUUCCUGGUGGAAUGCUGCGGUUAGCGGGUUUGGGAAUUCCGGGAAGGUGGUUAGCUAACAGUGGAUCAGCAACAGAGGUUGUUAAUAACAGUGGAUUAGCAGCAGAGGUGGUUAGCUAACAGUGGAUCAGCAACAGAGGUUGUUAGUUAACAGGGGUUAGCAACAGAGGUUGUUAGUUAGUUGGGCGGUUACAAGGGUAGUUAGUUAACAGUUGUAGGGUUGUUGGGAAUGGGGUUAUAACUGCCAUUUUUUUUACAAAAAUAACUGCUUCUGGAAUGUGGUGAGUAGCUAAACGUAAAUCAGACAUGUAUGUUUAAAGUAACAUUUGACCAAGUUGACUUUUCUGAUGUGGAGGUAAGUGUAAAGUAACCGAUGACUGGAUGAAUGUCUAACGAGUUUUUCGAUGAUGUGUUUCUUCAGGUAUCUAUUUUGUUGUUUGUAUUCACACAAUGUGGCUCCAGAAGACAAGUUUAUUGCAUUGGUGACAACGAAAGCAGAGACUGACGACCCUGAGAUCAAAUUAAAGCCUGGUGUUGACCUUCUGGGACCUGUGGAUGAUGUCUUUUAUGAAACUUUGGACAGAUUUGAGCCAAGAGAUGAUGGUGCUGCUGAUAGCUGUUUCGUAUCUACGGCAAGUAGGCGUAUACGCAUUAUUUGUGGUUUAUAUUUAGUUAUAAAACCUAUCACCAUCGCAUCCUCUCCUUUACACACCUCUGGUUCGUCUCUCCUUUUAGGUUUCAGGCAGCCACAUAUAUGGCAAUUGCACCAUGUGAUUUGUUUGCUAAUGUGAUGAUUUGAUGAAGUAAUUUGCACUAAUAAAAUCAGUUAAUUU